rnacentral:rRNA from 1 species
AACGAACGCUGGCGGCAGGCUUAACACAUGCAAGUCGAGCGCCCCGCAAGGGGAGCGGCCGACGGGUGAGUAACGCGUGGGAACGUACCUUUUGGUUCGGAACAACUCCGGGAAACUGGAGCUAAUACCGGAUAAGCCCUAACGGGGAAAGAUUUAUCGCCGAAAGAUCGGCCCGCGUCUGAUUAGCUAGUUGGUGAGGUAACGGCUCACCAAGGCGACGAUCAGUAGCUGGUCUGAGAGGAUGGUCAGCCACACUGGGACUGAGACACGGCCCAGACUCCUACGGGAGGCAGCAGUGGGGAAUAUUGGACAAUGGGCGCAAGCCUGAUCCAGCCAUGCCGCGUGAGUGAUGAAGGCCUUAGGGUUGUAAAGCUCUUUUGUCCGGGAAGAUAAUGACUGUACCGGAAGAAUAAGCCCCGGCUAACUUCGUG